CCUACGGGUGACAGCAGUGAGGAAUAUUGGUCAAUGGACGCAAGUCUGAACCAGCCAUGCCGCGUGCAGGAAGACGGCUCUAUGAGUUGUAAACUGCUUUUGUACGGGGGUAAACGCAGAUACGCGUAUCUUUCUGAAAGUAUCGUACGAAUGAGGAUCGGCUAACUCCGUGCCAGCAGCCGCGGUAAUACGGAGGAUUCAAGCGUUAUCCGGAUUUAUUGGGUUUAAAGGGUGCGUAGGCGGUCGGAUAAGUUAGAGGUGAAAUCCCGAGGCUCAACUUCGGAAUUGCCUCUGAUACUGUUCGGCUAGAGAGUAGUAGCGGUAGGCGGAAUGUAUGGUGUAGCGGUGAAAUGCUUAGAGAUCAUACAGGACACCGAUUGCGAAGGCAGCUUACCAGGCUACUUCUGACGUUGAGGCACGAAAGCGUGGGGAGCAAACAGGAUUAGAUACCCCAGUAGUC
rnacentral:rRNA from 1 species